ensembl:snRNA U6 U6 spliceosomal RNA
GUGCUUACUUCAGUAGCACAUGUACUAAAAUUGAAAUGAUACAGAGAAGAUUAGCCUGGCCCCUGCCCAAGGAUGAUACACAAAUUCAUGAAGCAUGAAUAUUUAAA